UGAACUGCGGUACUCUUCUCCGUUUGUUGUUCCAGUACUUGAAACCGAGAUAACCAGGCUGUUGGACAAACAGGGAUUAUACUUAUUUGACAUCUACACCCCAGAAGUGCUUCCUCUGGAUGGAUUUGUGAUCAUACAGAUGGACUUUGGUUUUCCUCAUCACCUCCUUGUUGACUUCCUCAAGAUGACACUUCAGCAAACAGGCGGUCUGCAACAAUAAAGCCUCGAGGCACUUUCUCCCUAACCCCCAUUUCACAAGUAACUGGGUAAUUUAUAUGCAGUAUUGUUCAUUUUUUGGGUGCGAGGUUGUUAUUAUAAUUCCCCCAAAAAUCUUUAAUUAAGCAAUGUAAGAAAUAUCAAGAAGUUUUGAAAUGAGCUAAAUUCAAUCAGAAUGA